GACGAACGCUGGCGGCGUGCCUAAUACAUGCAAGUAGAACGCUGAAGGAGGAGCUUGCUGCUCUGGAUGAGUUGCGAACGGGUGAGUAACGCGUAGGUAACCUGCCUGGUAGCGGGGGAUAACUAUUGGAAACGAUAGCUAAUACCGCAUAAGAGUAGAUGUCGCAUGACAUUUGCUGAAAAGGUGCAAUUGCAUCACUACCAGAUGGACCUGCGUUGUAUUAGCUAGUUGGUGUGGUAACGGCUCACCAAGGCAACGAUACAUAGCCGACAUGAGAGGGUGAGCGGCCGCACUGAGACGGUGACCGGGCCCAGACUCCUACGGGAAGCAGCAGUAGGGCAACGUAAGCAAGAGACGGAAGUCUGAGCGAGCAACGCCGAGUGCGUGAGGAAGAGCGUCGCGUCGUGAAGCACUGUCGUAAGAGAAGAACGCGUGUGCGCGUGGAACGUAGAGUCUGUGACGGUAUUUGACCAGAAAGCGACGGCUAACUACGUG
rnacentral:rRNA from 1 species